rnacentral:rRNA from 1 species
UGGUAUUGAUUGGUGCUUGCAUCAUGAUUUACAUUUGAGUGAGUGGCGAACUGGUGAGUAACACGUGGGAAACCUGCCCAGAAGCGGGGGAUAACACCUGGAAACAGAUGCUAAUACCGCAUAACAACUUGGACCGCAUGGUCCGAGUUUGAAAGAUGGCUUCGGCUAUCACUUUUGGAUGGUCCCGCGGCGUAUUAGCUAGAUGGUGGGGUAACGGCUCACCAUGGCAAUGAUACGUAGCCGACCUGAGAGGGUAAUCGGCCACAUUGGGACUGAGACACGGCCCAAACUCCUACGGGAGGCAGCAGUAGGGAAUCUUCCACAAUGGACGAAAGUCUGAUGGAGCAACGCCGCGUGAGUGAAGAAGGGUUUCGGCUCGUAAAACUCUGUUGUUAAAGAAGAACAUAUCUGAGAGUAACUGUUCAGGUAUUGACGGUAUUUAACCAGAAAGCCACGGCUAACUACGUGCCAGCAGCCGCGGUAAUACGUAGGUGGCAAGCGUUGUCCGGAUUUAUUGGGCGUAAAGCGAGCGCAGGCGGUUUUUUAAGUCUGAUGUGAAAGCCUUCGGCUCAACCGAAGAAGUGCAUCGGAAACUGGGAAACUUGAGUGCAGAAGAGGACAGUGGAACUCCAUGUGUAGCGGUGAAAUGCGUAGAUAUAUGGAAGAACACCAGUGGCGAAGGCGGCUGUCUGGUCUGUAACUGACGCUGAGGCUCGAAAGUAUGGGUAGCAAACAGGAUUAGAUACCCUGGUAGUCCAUACCGUAAACGAUGAAUGCUAAGUGUUGGAGGGUUUCCGCCCUUCAGUGCUGCAGCUAACGCAUUAAGCAUUCCGCCUGGGGAGUACGGCCGCAAGGCUGAAACUCAAAGGAAUUGACGGGGGCCCGCACAAGCGGUGGAGCAUGUGGUUUAAUUCGAAGCUACGCGAAGAACCUUACCAGGUCUUGACAUACUAUGCAAAUCUAAGAGAUUAGACGUUCCCUUCGGGGACAUGGAUACAGGUGGUGCAUGGUUGUCGUCAGCUCGUGUCGUGAGAUGUUGGGUUAAGUCCCGCAACGAGCGCAACCCUUAUUAUCAGUUGCCAGCAUUAAGUUGGGCACUCUGGUGAGACUGCCGGUGACAAACCGGAGGAAGGUGGGGAUGACGUCAAAUCAUCAUGCCC